rnacentral:tRNA from 1 species
GUUUUCAUAGUUUAAAAAAAACAAUGAUUUUGUAAAUCAUAAAUGAUUUAAUCUGAAAGCU